UACGUAGGGUGCGAGCGUUAAUCGGAUUUACUGGGCGUAAAGCGCGCGUAGGCGGUGCGGUAAGUCAGGGGUUAAAGGCUGCAGCUCAACUGCAGUAAGGCCUUUGAUACUAUCGCGCUAGAGUACCAGAGAGGAUGGCGGAAUUCCCGGUGUAGCGGUGAAAUGCGUAGAUAUCGGGAGGAAUACCAGUGGCGAAGGCGCCCUUCUGGACGGUUACUGACGCUGAGACGCGAAAGCGUGGGGAGCAAACAGG
rnacentral:rRNA from 1 species